rnacentral:rRNA from 1 species
GACAGCACUGGAUAGAUACGCAAUCUACGAUGACAUCAUGGCAUCUGCUCAUGACGUACUCGAUGCAGGAAUGCUGCUGAGUCAGUAGUCCUGGUAGUAAGCUCUCGAUCGAGAAGACAUCGACUGUACCCGAUUGAGUAGGUUCGCUAACUGAGUACAGCAUGCUGCUGUGAUACGUAGGACUUAGCGUAGUCGGAAUACUGAGCUGAUGAGUCGUAGGUGGUGAAAAAGUAGUGUGCAAUCCAGAGCUGACUGUGGAACUGCCAUUAUAACUUUUCAGCUAUAGUAUGAUAGAGGAAAGCAGAAUUUCUAGUGUAGAGGUGAAAGUCGUAGAUAUUAGAAAGAAUACCAAUUGCGAAGGCAGCUUUCUGGAUCACUACUGACACUGAGGAACGAAAGCAUGGGUAGCGAAGAGGAUUAGAUACCCUCGUAGUCCAUGCCGUAAACGAUGUGUGUUAGACGUUGGAAAUUUAUUUUCAGUGUCGCAGGGAAACCGAUAAACACACCGCCUGGGGAGUACGACCGCAAGGUUAAAACUCAAAUGAAUUGACGGGGACCCGCACAAGUAGUGGAGCAUGUGGUUUAAUUCGAAGAUACGCGCAGAACCUUACCAACACUUGACAUGUUCGUCGCGACUCUAAGAGAUUAGAGUUUUCGGUUCGGCCGGACGAAACACAGGUGCUGCAUGGCUGUCGUCAGCUCGUGUCGUGAGAUGUUGGGUUAAGUCCCGCAACGAGCGCAACCCUCACUUUUAGUUGCCAUCAUUAAGUUGGGCACUAUGAAAGAACUGCCAGUGAUAAGCUGGAGGAAGGUGGGGAUGACGUCAAGUCCUCAUGGCCCUUACGUGUUGGGCUACACACGUGCUACAAUGGUAUCUACAACAGGAAGCAAGACUGCGAAGUUAAGCAAAUCCCUAAAAGAUACCUCAGUUCGGAUUGCACUCUGCAACUCGAGUGCAUGAAGCUGGAAUUACUAGUAAUCGUGGAUCAGCGUGCCACGGUGAAUGCGUUCCCGGGUCUUGUACACACCGCCCGUCACACCAUGGGAGUUGGUUCUACCUUAAGGCAAGGUUUUAAACCCUUGCCCACGGUAUAGUCAGCGACUGGGGAGAAGUCG